CAACCAGAUACUCCAGACAAAGAGGAUAUAGAUCUUUAUAUUCAUCCUCGUGGUUUUUGCAUGUUUUUCUAGACCAGAAGUCCUUAAAAUGUGAUUUGGAGACCCAAGGACCUUUGAGGCUCAAGUCCUUUCGUGUUGGCCAAUCAUUCAGUCACAUCCGACUCUUUGUGACUCUCAUGGACCAAAGCAUCAAUGAUACCAUCUGUACGUCAGAGAGGAAGAAGGCUCAGCAAAGAAGAUGUUGCUGUUGUUCAUCCUUCAUUUCCAGAGGACCAGUGACAUCAUGGUAUAAGGAAACAGAGCAUCGGAGAGGUUAAAACAGCAAGCAAAAGAGCUGAGAUUUGAAUCCAGGUCUUCUAAUUCAAAAUCCAAUGUUCUUCCCAAUGAAUUGUACUGCCUCCUAAUAAAAUGCC
rnacentral:lncRNA from 1 species